UAUAAUUUAGAUAGCAAACCCUCUGUUCACAUAGAUGCCUUUUAACACUAAAAGGUAUGGGACAUCAGGAUAAAGAGCACCAAGAAGGAAUUAGAUUUAUGUCCCAGAAAACAGGAUAUUUUUUAAAUGGUCUAUUGCUCAUCCAAAUGAGAAAAAUCACAACUUACUAGUACUAGAAUCAAGUCCACAUCAGCCCCUGGAACAUAGCAACCAUCUGCUUGUAGCCAUCACACAAGCAAAUCAAUGAGCUCUCUCAUGUUUUUAAUCAACCCAGUCAUUGGUUCUAGAUCUGAAUGCAAAGGUUGCCCACAUUGGAAUUGUCCAGAUGGUGUCAUCAAAGAUAUGCCAAGAGAUCAAGAGGAAAGACCUACUCAUGUUGGAGUAGUGGAAAAAUUCCCAGAGAACAUGGACAAGAGUUUCAAAGGAUGAAAGAGAAUGACUGAGAUUGAAUUUGCAUUACUGGAGAGAAUCAUCAAUCAAAACAUUCAAGUAACUGAUUACAUGUUUGUUGUCUAAGGACCAAAUUAAUUAAAUUAUCCUCCAUGCUUGGAGUC